rnacentral:rRNA from 1 species
UACGUAGGGUGCAAGUGUUAAUCGGAAUUACUGGGCGUAAAGCGUGCGCAGGCGGCUUUGCAAGACAGAUGUGAAAUCCCCGGGCUUAACCUGGGAAUGGCAUUUGGGACUGCAAGGCUCGAGUGCGGCAGAGGAGACUGGAAUUCCUGGUGUAGCAGUGAAAUGCGUAGAUAUCAGGAGGAACACCGAUGGCGAAGGCAGGUCUCUGGGCUGACACUGACGCUCAUGCACGAAAGCGUGGGGAGCAAACAGG